rnacentral:lncRNA from 1 species
AGCUGGGGACCAAACCAACUGAAAGAUUCCCUCCGCCACGUGUUGCUCGCCCAUUAGCCAUUGAGAGUAGUUAGUUAGAUUGUUAGUAGUAUAAAACGAUAGGAUCAUGUAAUGUCCAUUUCACUUUUUUAGCUGAAAUCUUGCUAUUGUAAUCAGAGAGGAUUUCCUCUUUGUAUUUCCUUUCUCUUCAAGUUUCCUACAUUCUAUUUUCCCCUUCUACACCUUUCCCGCCAAGUCUGAUUCUGUAUUUUGAAAGUUAAUGAAUGCAAUGAAGGUGUUCGUUUGAAUUCAUUGUAUCUGCAAACCUGCUAAAUUCAUUUCUGAAGUCUACUUAUUUCCAUUUCCUGCAACAAUUCUGGUUCUGUACCACAACAGUGGUAUCAGAGCUUGAUUGCGAGCCAUAGGGAUGACAAAAAAUCAGGAUGAAACAUUGAUGAGAGACAUAGUGGAGUUAGGGAGUGUGGUCAGGACCUUUACCAACAAGAGUGAGGGAAUGGAACAAGCAAUCAGGACAAUGGAGUUCAGACAGGAUACUACUGAAAAGCUUCUGAAAGAAUUGGACCAAAAAUAUGAAGGAAUGAUGAACAUGAUGGCUCAGUUGAUGGCUAAGGUCAGUGAUCGAGGAAAAGGACUGAAGGGAGGUAGCAGCUCAAGAGAAGGAGCUCAACCUGAUGAGUCCAAGUUGGAAUCUCAGAAGGAAUCUUUUGGCAAAAGGGAGACCAGAACCAAUAACAGGUGGCCUAAAAUGGAUCUGCCAAUUUUUUAUGGUGAUAACCCAAGGGCGUGGAUCAGGAAGGCUAACAAAUACUUCAAAAUACAUGGAAUAGAAGAGGACAUGAAGGCUGAGAUGGCUGAGCUCUAUUUUAGAGACAGAGCAGACAUCUGGUUCCAUGGAGUCUUCCAUGGUAGAGAGGCGAUUCCCUGGUCAGAGUUAUCUACUGCUCUGAGUAUCAGAUUUGGAGAAAGGAGUCCAAAGAAAGCUAUUGAAGAGUUCAACAAACUGGUGCAAUCUGGAUCCGUGGCUGAAUACCUUGAGAAGUUUGAGAUGCUCAAAGCUCUGGUAAUGCCAUCCUUGCCCUAUUUAUCUGACUCUUACUAUAAGGCAUGCUUCAUGAGUGGAUUGAAGGAAGAAAUAGUUAAAAUGGUGAAGAUGUCUAAACUUGAAACUUUGGCUGUUGCAAUAGAGAUGGCAAAGCUCCAAGAAAAAAACCUCAAAGCUAUCCAGAGAAUGCAAAAACCUGUCACAUCUAGUUUUAAUAACCAAAAAACCCACAGUAAAGCUCUACCCCACCCUAAAUGGAACCAAAACAACUCCAACUACCCAAACAGAUUCCAUGAUCAAAAUGCAACUAGUUAGAGCCAAUUUAAGAAAAUAUCCCCCACAGAGUUCAACUUGAGAAGAGAAAACGGACUAUGCUAUAAAUGUGCUGAACCCUACACUUUGGACCAUGUAUGCAAACAGUCUCAUGUGCAUUUCUUAUUGGCUGAGGAAAUUGAGGUUGCGGAGGAGAGCAAGGGACAGGAGGAGGAGAUCUACUGUGACUGUAUUAAUGGGGACUUGACUGAUAAACACAUAGAGGUGUCUGUCCAUGCUUUGGCUGGGGGAAUGGGACACAAAACCAUCAAACUAGAGAGGUUGGUGAGAGGUAGGCAGAUUACUGCCUUAAUAGAUAGUGGCAGUACACAUUGCUUCAUAGAUGAGCAGUUGGCAAUGGAACUGAAAUUGGGGACACGAGGACCUAUACUGAUAGUAAAUGUAGCUAAUGAAGAGAGAGUGGGCUCAAGAGGGUUAGAUAGGUUAUUGUAUUGGGAAAUACAGGGCCAUAAGUUCCAACACCCCUUCAACACCUUGAAGUUGGGUGGCUGUGACACGAUCUUAGGAGUGGACUGACUAGCCAAACACAAUCCCAUAGAAUUCAACUUUAAGGAGCUCAACAUGAAGAUCUGCAAGGGACGACAAGAAGUAGUGCUGCUUGGGAAGAGCACCAACACUGAGCUGAAAAUGCAAAAAGGAAGUAGAAUAGAGAAGUGGUUAAAGAGGCAAACAUAUGGGGUGAUAGCUCAGUUAGUAGCAGUAGAAGGAGAGGGGAAUCCAGAUCAGAUACCUACUGAGAUUAGCCAGAUAAUAGAGCAAUACAGGGAUGUUUUUGCAAAACCAAAGGGAAUGCUUCCAACCAGGAGCCAUGAUAACCAAAUUGUGUUAAAGGAAGAAGCCAAGCCUUUCCAGGUGAGGCCAUACAGGUGUCCAUAUGUACAGAAGACAGAAAUCAAGAAGUUAGUGAAAGAAAUGUUGGAAAUAGGGAUCAUACAACCUAGCAGUAGCCUAUUUGCUUUCCCAGUGCUGCUAGUGAAGAAGAAGGAUGGAACUUGGAGGUUCUGUAUGGAUUACAAGCAGCUAAAUGAAUUGACAGUGAAGAACAAGUUUCCUAUGCCUUUGAUUGAGGAAUUGAUAGAUGAGCUACAUGGGGCUAAGUACUUCACUAAGAUUGAUCUAAGAGCAGGAUACUUCCAAAUCAGUGUCAAGAUGGAAGACAUUCAAAAAACUGCCUUCAGAACUCACCAAGGACUUUAUGAGUUCAAGGUCAUGCCAUUUGACUUGACCAAUGCUCCUGCAACCUUCCAGAGCCUAAUGAACCAGGUCUUCCAAGAACAAAUGAGGAAGCAUGUUCUGGUAUUCUUUGACGACAUCCUAGUCUAUAGCCCUACCAUGGAAAUGCAUGUCAAAAAUGUUACUAAAGUACUAAAUAUACUAAGGCAGCACCAGCUAUAUGCUAAGAUGAGCAAGUGCACUUUUGCACAGCUACAGGUAGAAUAUUUAGGACACAUCAUAUCAGCAGAGGGAGUUCAAGCUGACCCUAUGAAAGUGGAAUGCAUGGAGAAAUGGCCCAGGCCAAAGAAUGUCAAGCAGCUGAGGGGGUUUCUGGGGUUAACAGGCUACUACAGAAGGUUUGUCAAAGGGUAUGGAGCCAUAGCCAAACCUUUGACAAACCUACUGAAGAAUGACAACUUUCAGUGGGGGGAGGGUUCAAAGGAGGCUUUCCAAGAGCUGAAAAGAGCCAUGUGUAGCACCCAUGUAUUGGCUAUGCCUGAUUUCACCCAACCAUUCAUUAUUGAAACAGAUGCCUGCCAUCAAGGCAUGGGAGCUGUACUGAUGCAAAACAGGAAAUCCAUUUCUUACCUCAAUCAGGCCCUGGGACAGAAGAACAUGGGAUUAUCUAUAUAUGAAAAAGAGCUACUAUCUUUGGUGACUGCUGUGACCAAGUGGAGACACUAUUUAGAGGGUCAUCACUUCAUCAUACAUACUGACCAUCAGAGCUUAAAAUACUUGCUAGAGCAGAGGAUCACUACACCUCUUCAACAGAAAUGGCUCACCAAAUUGCUGGGACUGAGCUAUGAAAUUCAUUACAAAAAGGGAAAGGACAAUAUUACAGCUGAUGCUCUCUCCAGACAAGGCAGGGAUGAGGCAGGUGAAUGCAAGGCCAUCUCCAGUGCAGUGCCUACUUGGAUCGGUGAAGUGAUGGAGAGUUACAAGGAGGAUGUGUGGGUUCAAGGAACAAUUUCCCAGGCACUACUGACUCCUACUCAAGUACCAGACUACUCCUACCAAGAUGGUGUUCUCAUAUACAAAAAGAGGUUGGUAGUGGGAGGACAAGAAGAUAUCAGAAGGAAACUUAUCACUGCCUUACAUGACUCCCAGAUGGGAGGACAUUCAGGUAUCUAGGCCAGCUACAUGAGGGCCAAACAACUGUUCUACUGGCUAGGGAUGUACGAAGAGAUCAAGAACUUUGUUCUGGAGUAUGACACAUGUAGGAAGUGUAAAGAUGAGCAUGUGGUGACAGGGUGUCGAAACCUGUGCAAUAAUAAAACAUGCCCAAACUAAAAUUAAUUUCUGUAGAUAGUAGUAAGCAGGGUCGAAUCCACAGGGAUUGGGAGUAAUUGUUUCUUUUUAAAUUCACAGUGACAAGGGGGUGUUUUUAUCUCAGGGGUGACAAUUUAAACAAUCCAACUAAAAGUAAAAUAAUAAAAAUAAAAUAGCCAACUAGAAAUUAAAUAACAAUUUACUAAAAUCAGAGGGUCUAGCCAAAGAAUAACUUCAACAAUGGUUCACCUAAUUGAUCAUCGACACAAAGCCAAUUACAAUUAUUUACCAAUAAAUAGGUUAUAACUGCCAAACAAGCGAUGACAGUCAACCCCUCCUUACUGUGUCGGUGAUUAAGGUACGCCCGUUAAUCACUGCUCUAAUUGAGAAAUAAUUUUAGGUACGCCCGUAGAAUUUAAUUCCUCAAUUGCCUUACGUAUUAGAGGAGCCCUAUUCUAAUCAAAUAACGCACUACCAUGGUUAUUUUAGAUUAGCCCGCGUAUUCCCCUGACACAAACCUAAUCAUGCCAGUUAUCACUAUUUUGAGACAAUUAAACAAUUACGGAUUUAACGUCCUAAUUGAUAAUAGAUUAUCAAAUUAACUAAUUAUCCGGAUCCAAAACAAUCAAUUAAUUAAAUAACCAUGAGCAUAGAAAUCAGGAAAUAUGCGGAUACCAAUAAAUAAAAGAAAAAGAUAAAAUUAAAUCGAUCUCACAAUUUUAGGCGACCCAAAGCAUCCGUUGUCCCUUGACUAGAUAAAGGGGUUUAAUUCAUUGUUGAUGAGAAAAACCCAUACAAAACUGAAGUGAUAGUUGCGGCCAUUAUGUGGUAGGAGGAAUUCACUACAGACCGCAAGGAAAAAUCAAACAAAAAAGCUACAGGGAAAUGAUUCAAUGCUUCAAUGGCUUCUGACAUCCGAGAGGCAACUACUACUAAGAAGCAAAGGAAGGAAAAGUCAAAGGUGAAAGCUAAGCUACAGGAUGAAAGGCUAAGGAAGCCAGCCGUCUUCAGUCCUCUGCUGCUCUGCUUCUUAUGUGCGGCGGCACCCUCCGAAAAGAAGUCUACGGCCCAUUCUGCCCAACAAGGGUUCAUGUUUUGUUGUUCCAAAAAUACCCCUAGGACAAGCUCUAUCAUCUGGACUCUUUUCCUGUCAAAUUAGCACCUGUUAUUAUAUUUUCGUUCUACUCCCUGAAAUAAAUGUAAAAUACUAAAAGUGAGUAGAAUCUAAUAAUUAGUUCACAUUGGGUCAGGUAAUAGGGAAAAUUAAUGAUAAAAUAAAUGAUAAAAUUGCAACCUAUCAUGUGGCUUACCCUGGACUACUGCAACCCCUCCCUAUUCCCCAACACUCAGAGAGCCAUGUCACUAUGGACUUCAUUGAGGGGUUACCAAAAUCAGAAGGGAAAGGCAUCAUAAUGGUAGUAGUGAACAGAUUUACCAAAUAUGCUCAUUUCAUCAGUAUAGCACACCCUUUUAAUGCUCCAAAGAUAGCCAGGCUCUUCAUUGAUUAUGUCAGUAAGCUGCAUGGGAUUCCCCAGAGCAUGCUGUCAGAUAGGGACAGGAUAUUUGUCAGCCAAUUCUGGGGGAGAACUUUUUACUAUGCUGCGAGCUAAAUUAGACUACAGCAUAGCUUAUCACUCUCAGACUGAUGGCCAAACUGAGAGGUGAACCAGGUGCUGGAAAUGUACCUCAGAUGCCUUACUCAUCUAGAACCUAGGAGAUGGAGCCAGUGGCUAUCUCUGGCAGAGUGGUGGUACAAUACCACCCAUCACACAGCAAUAUAGAUGACCCCAUUCGAGGCAUUGUAUGGAAUUCCCCCUCCCCAACUAGCCCUGGGACCCUACCUGCAAACCAGAGUGGCUGCAGUGGGGGACUAUGUCAAGGAAAGGCAGCAGAUAGACAACAUGUUGAAACAGAACUUGAGGGUAGCUCAGGAAAGGAUGAAGAAAUAUGCAGAUGAAAGGAGGAGUGAGAGAGAAUUCAGGGAAGGUGAUUGGGUGUAUCUGAGGUUACAACCAUAUAGGCAAAGCUCAGUUGCUCUAAGGGGAAAUACCAAGCUCACAGCCAAAUAUUUUGGUCCCUACAAGUUAGAGAAGAGGAUUGGGAAUGUAGCUUACAGAUUACAACUACCUACCACCUCUAGGGUGCAUCCUGUUUUCCAUGUAUCCCUACUCAAGAAAAAGGUGGGUGACAAGGCCACUCCUACCCUCCAGCUACCUGAAUUAGAUGAGAAGGGGCAUUGGAAGGUUGAGCCAGUGGCUGUGCUUGAUAGAAGGAUGGUGAAAAAGGGCAAUGCUGCUGCAGUACAGUGGUUAAUCCACUGGUGGGGUACAGAUCCUGCAAAAGCUACAUGGGAGGAGGCUGAAGGGAUUAAGAGAUAGUUUCCCAAGUUUCAAUCUUGAGGACAAGAUUAAUUUCCAGGAGGGAGUAUUGUAAUGAAGUCAAAAGUCAGAAAGUGUGAAGGACAAAGAAGGGAAGGCGUGAGGCUGGCCAGAAGGGUAACUGGGAAGGCGCGAUCAGAAACUAGCAUUACACAGGGAGAAGGAAAGCGUGAGGGGACUAUGAAGAAGGCGUGGAUUUGGCAAACGCAGUAGGAGAAGGCGCACCCAAGGAACCACGCUUUUGCUGGGUUCAUGCGAUCUCUGCUGAAGCUGGGGACCAAACCAACUGAAAGAUUCCCUUCGCCACGUGUUGCUCGCCCAUUAGCCAUUGAGAGUAGUUAGUUAGAUUGUUAGUAGUAUAAAACGAUAGGAUCAUGUAAUGUCCAUUUCACUUUUUUAGCUGAAAUCUUGCUAUUGUAAUCAGAGAGGAUUUCCUCUUUGUAUUUCCUUUCUCUUCAAGUUUCCUACAUUCUGUUUUCCCCUUCUACACUUUUC